GAAAUUAAAAAAAAAGAAAUUGGAAGUGCUGGAAAUCAAAAAUAACAUAACAGAAAUGAAGAAUGCCUUUGAUGGGCUCUUUAACAGACUCAACAUGACUGAAGAAAGCAUCAGUGGGCUUUAAGCUAUGUCCAUAGAACCUCCCAGUCUAAAAAGCAAAGAGAAAAAAAAAAAGAUAAAAAAGACCUUACAGUAUAUCCAUGAACUGUGAGACUGUGGGAUAAUUACAAAGGCCAUAACAUAUGGAAUGGGAAUACCAGAAAGAAAAGAAAGAUGAAAAGGAGGAGAAGAAAUAUUUGAAAUAAUAAUAGCUGAGAAGUUUUCAAAAUUAACAGCAGACACAAAAACACAUAUCCAGUAAGCACAAAGAAUACCAAGCAGGAUAAAUAUCAAGACAUCUGAACCUAGAUAUGUCGUACUCACGCUAUACAAAAUCAAAGAUGAAGAGAAAAUCUUGAAAGAAGCCAGAGGAAAAUAAUCACCUUACCAUAAAGGAGCAAUGAUAAGAAUUACACUGGACUUCUCUUCAGAAAUUAUGUGAGCCAGAAGGGAAUGGAGCAAAAUGUGUAAAGCAUUGAAAGAAAAUUCCACAAUCUAUAAUUCUGUGUGCAGUGAAAGUUUUCUUCAAAAGCGAAGAAAGAGUAAAGACUUUCUCAGACAAACACAAACAAGGAAUUUUAUCUCCAGUAGAACUGCCGACAAGAAAUGUUAAAAUAAGUUUUCCAGAGAGAAGAAAAAUUAUAUGGGUCAGAAACCCAGAACUACUUAAAGGAAGAGCUUUAGAGAAGAAAAAAUAAAGGUAACACAACAUAUUUUUAGAGCCUUAACUGAUAACAGUUUGUUAAACUAUUUUUUAAAACAUUUGCAAAACUUAAUUAGGUGAUUAUAGCUUAUGGAUAGGUGAAAUGAAUGCCUUAAUAACAUAAGGGAUGAGAGGGAGGAUUUGGGACUAUUUUGCUGCAAGGUGCUUGCACUAUCCCAUGAAGUGGUAUAGUGCUAGUUCAAAGAGGACUUAGGUAAGUUGUGAGUGUAUAGUGCAAAGUUCAGGGCAAUUACUAAAAAUAUUCUUUAAUUUAAAAAUAUAAUUGAUAUGAUAAGUGAGAAGAGAAAGUUGAAUCAUAUAAAGUGCCCAGUUAAAAUCAGAGAAGGGAGAAAAAGAGGAAGUCUAAAAAAAGAAAGAAUAAGUGCAACAAAUUCAAAAUGAAACAAACUCCGGAUGGAUUGUGGACCCAGAUGUAAAAUACAAAACUAUGAGAGAAGACAACAAAGGAGAAAAUCUUGGUGGUCUUCAGUUUGGUGAUGAUUAGAAUAAGCACCAAAUGCACAAACCAUGAAAAAUAAACUAGAUAAGUUGGACUUUAUUAAAACUAAACAUUUCUGUUAUAUGAAAGACAUUAUUAAGCAAAUGAAAAAAAAUGAGUGACAGAAUGGAACGAAAGAUUUGCAGGACAUUUAUCUAAUAAAGGAAUGGUGCCCAAAAUAUACAAAAAACUGCUAACAUUUAACAUAAGAAAACAGUCCAAUUUUUAAAAGGCCCAAGAUCUGAACAGACAUAUCGGCAGACACAGAUGGUAAAUAAGCAUAUUAAAAGACCAACAUCAUAUAUCACUGGGGAAUUGUAAAUUAAAAUGAGAUACCACUACAAAACCGAUAAGAAGCGCUAAAAUCAGAACAUUGAAAUACUGAUGUGAACCAACAGGGAUUCUGUCAUUCAUUGCUGGUAGUGAUGCAAAAUGGUACAGCCACUUGGGAAAUAGUUUGUAGUUUCUUCAAAGUUUCUUAUAAAGGUUAACACAGUCUUAACAUAUGAUCCAGCAAUCACAUUUCUAAGCAUUUAGGUAAAUGAAUUUUAAACUUAUUUUUGUACAAAAACCUCCACAUGAAUGUUUACAGCAGCUUCAUUUAUAAUUGUCAAAACUGGAAACAACCAAGAUAUCCUUCAAUAAUCUGUGGUUAUAUUCAUACAAAGAAAUUUUAUUCAGUGAUAAAAGGGAAUUAGCACCAAAAAGGCAUGAAGGAGCCUUAAUUGCAUGUUGCUAAGUGAAAGAAGCCAGUCUGAAAGAGCUAUGUACACAAUUCCAAGCCUAUACAAUAUAUGUGAAUAUGGAUAUUUUGUAAAAAACAAAGCUAUAGAGAUAGCAAAAAGAUAAUAGUGAACACAUGUCAUUAUGCAUUUGUCAAACCCAUAGAACUGUGCAAUAUAAAGUCCUAAUAUAAACCAAGUACUUUUAGUUAACAAUAAUAAUAAUGCGUCAAUAUGGUACAUUAAUUGUAAUAAAUGUACCUUACUAAUUCAAGAUAAUAAUAGGGGGAAAAUGUGGGAUUAGGCAGGUAAAGGGGGCAUAUAGGAACUCUCUGUACUGUCUGCUCAAUUUUUUUUAUAAACCUAAAACUGCCCUGAGAAAUAAAGAAUCAAUU